rnacentral:rRNA from 1 species
UAUGAAUAGAUCCCUCUGCCUUUUAGUGGGGGACAACAGUUGGAAACGACUGCUAAUACCCCAUACUCCUUUUAAACAUAAGUUUAAUCGGGAAAGUUUUUCGCUAAAAGAUGAGUCUAUUUCCCAUCAGCUAGUUGGUAAGGUAAGAGCUUACCAAGGCUAUGACGGGUAGCUGGUCUUAGAGGACGAUCAGCCACACUGGAACUGAGACACGGUCCAGACUCCUACGGGAGGCAGCAGUGGGGAAUAUUGCACAAUGGGGGAAACCCUGAUGCAGCAACGCCGCGUGGAGGAUGACGCAUUUCGGUGUGUAAACUCCUUUUAUUAAGGAAGAAAUUUGACGGUACUUAAUGAAUAAGCACCGGCUAACUCCGUGCCAGCAGCCGCGGUAAUACGGAGGGUGCAAGCGUUACUCGGAAUUACUGGGCGUAAAGGACGCGUAGGCGGCCAGGCAAGUUAGAUGUGAAAUCCUAUGGCUUAACCAUAGAACUGCAUCUAAAACUGCUUGGCUAGAGUG